rnacentral:rRNA from 1 species
CAGAUUGAACGCUGGCGGCAUGCCUUACACAUGCAAGUCGAACGGCAGCACGGGAGCAAUCCUGGUAGGCGAGUGGCGAACGGGUGAGUAAUAGUAAUCCGGAACGUGCCCGAAGUCGUGGGGGAUAAACGGCAGCGAAAGCUGUGCUAA